UUUGUUUCUCGGAGUGUUGCGCAACAGUGGGUCUGCAAUUGCAAAUGACCCAAACAGAGCAGGGGAGAAGUAAAGCGAGCUGUAAAAGAACACAGAGAAGACACAAUGUCGAAUUUUGCGCGCGGACGGAGGUCUCCGGAUGCGCCUCGGGGAAAGAUACCACAGGACUGGGAGCUGUCAGAGACAAACCUCAGCGCGUCAGACCAUCCAGUUACUUUCAUUGGCAACUCGGUUUCUCAACGGGCACCCCAAGUUCACCUUCAGCCGUACUUACUUAAGCCCCGCAUGGCGGGGCUCAUGUACAGCAGCGGAGUACGCCCAGUCCUCACUCACGCCUAUAUCCAAGGACGCGUCUAUAACUUUUUGGAAAGGCCCUCCGGCUGGAAGUGCUUCCUUUAUCACUUGACUGUGUUCCUCAUAGUUCUUGCUUGCCUGAUCCUCAGCAUUCUGUCAACCAUCCCCCUGUAUGAUAAAUUUGCUUUCACCAUUCUCUUCUGGUUGGAGAUUUUCCUUGUGGUCUUCUUAGGGGUGGAAUAUGUUGUCCGGCUUUGGUCAGCAGGUUGCCGCAGCAUAUAUGUCGGCAUCUGUGGACGACUACGAUUUGCAAGAAAGCCAAUAAUUAUUAUAGAUCUGAUUGUUGUGGUUUCCUCCAUAAUUGUGCUAACAGUUGGCUCCAAUGGACAAGUGUUUGCAACCUCUGCUAUUAGGGGGAUCCGUUUCCUGCAGAUACUGCGUAUGCUCCACGUAGACCGCCAGGGAGGAACAUGGCGUCUCCUGGGGUCUGUUGUCUAUGCCCAUCGCAGGGAGCUGAUCACGACCCUUUAUAUUGGCUUUCUGAGCCUGAUCUUCGCCUCAUACUUUGUCUACCUGGCAGAAAAAGAAACCUACAACUUUGAAACCUAUGCUGAUUCCCUGUGGUGGGGAGUGAUAACAGUGACGACCAUUGGCUAUGGAGACCUCAUACCUCAGACGUGGCUUGGGAAGAUCAUUGCAUCUUGUUUCUCUGUCUUUGCCAUAUCCUUCUUUGCACUCCCUGCAGGAAUUUUAGGCUCAGGCUUUGCACUGGAGGUUCAGCAGAAACAAAGACGGAAACAUUUUAAUAGACAAAUCCCUGCUGCUGCUAGUGUCAUUCAGACAUCAUGGAGGUGUUUUGCAGUGGAAAACUGUGAUUCAGCCACGUUUAAGAUGUUCUUGGUAAAGAGAUCCAACACACCUAAAUCCUCACUAUCGACCCCAAUGCCCAAGGAAUCGGCGAAGAAAUUGAACAAGGACAUCACUUCAAAUUUUCUCACAGCUCCUAGCAUCUCUGCGUUCGACACUGAGAGCAGCAACUUUCUGAGCCCUGAUGCGUGCAGCACUAUCGACCUCGAUAAAAGUCCUGGCCUUCCGGAUGUUCAUUCUCCCAAUGGCCAUAAGAGGAACUGCAGUUUUGCGGAUGACCUGGAACAGGAGUCAGAGCGAGACAGUGCACUGACUCCAGCCACCUCCAUAUCACAACUGUCAGAGUGUCACAGACGAGCCAUCCGUGUGAUCCAAAAAUUGCGCCAUUAUGUGGCUAAGAGAAAGUUCCAGCAAGCUCGUAAACCAUAUGAGGUCCGAGAUGUGAUUGAGCAAUACACCCAGGGUCACCUCAACCUAAUGGUGCGGAUCAAGGAGCUGCAGAGAAGACUGGACCAGUCAUUAGGGAAGAUAACUUUAUUCCAGACAGGAGCAGAUCGAGCUAAAGACAAGGGAAGCAACUCUAUUGGAUCCCGACUCAGCAGAAUGGAGGACAAGAUCUCACAAAUGGAUCUGAUGCUGAACCGCAUUGCAAACUCUCUCAGUAUUCUGCCGGACCGGAGGGAUGUCAGUGGGAGUGAGCGUGAAGGAAGACUGAAGCCACAGCCUUGCCACACCGGCAAUAUCAACCCCAGUCAUGACGGUUUGCCAAGCUAUGAGCAGCUGUCCGCAAAAUCGGACGACAGUGCCUGAUCUAUCCUAUCUAUCUAUCUAUCCAUCUAUCUAUCUCUCUCUCUCUCUCUAUGUUUUGUAACUCAAAUUCCAAAUAUUCCUUUUAUUUAGCUGCAUCUAUACAUGGAUCGGUGUAGCUGUUCAGGCCAAACGUUUCUACAAAUACUAACUUCAUUCAUAUGAAAGCAUUUGUUCAAUGACCUGGUGCAUGUAGUAAUAUAGCCUUUCCUUUUCUAAAAUUACAUCCCUAGUUGGUAAAUUGUAAUGCAAAUAUACUUCGCGCGCCUUGCUGUAAAAUUAAUUGUCAAAUUAAUUGUCCUUGAAAUAAAUGAUUUACAACCGCAAUUCCAAUGAAGUUGGGACGUUUGCGAAAGUUGGUGAAAGAAAGUCCGGAGUGGCCUCCUUGAUGGUUAACAAGUCUCCCCUUGUGUAAGUGAGUCGUGUAAUGUCUCCAAAGACGAAAAACACAAAAACAAUACUAGAGAGCGCGUUACCGAGGCGACCACACUGGUAGGCGCCAUCUUGGUUUAACAACAUUCAAUAAACGUUUGGGAACUGAGGACACUAAUUGUUGAAGCUUUGUAGGUGGAAUUCUUUACCAUUCUUGCUUGAUGUACAGCUUCAGCUGUUCAACAGUCCGGGGUCUCCGUUGUCGUCUUUUACGCUUCAUAAUGUGCCACACAUUUUAAAUGGGAGACAGGUCUGGACUGCAGGCAGAACUGGACUGCAGGCAGUCCAGACCUGCGUGGCUUCUUUUACUACGAAGCCACGCUGUUGUAACACGUGCAGAAUGUGGUUUGGCAUUGUCUUGCUGAAAUAAGCAGGGGCGUCCAUGAAAAAGACGUUGCUUGGAUGGCAGAAUAUGUUUCUCCAAAACGUGUAUGUACCUUUCAGUAUUACUGGUGCCUUCACAGAUGUGCAAGUUACCCAUCCCAUCCCUUUUCCACUUUGCAUCAGUCUAUCUUAGAUGAGCUCGGGCCCAGAGAACCCGGCGGCGAUUCUGGGUGUUGUUGAUAAAUGGCUUUUGCUUUGCAUAGUAGAGUUUCAGGUUGCACUUACGGAUGUAGCGCUGAAUUGUAUUUACUGACAUUGGUUUUCUGAAGUGUUCCUGAGCCCAUGUGGUGAUAUCCUUUACACAUUGAUGUCGGUUUUUGAUGCAGUGCCGCCUGAGGGAUCGAAGGUCACGGGCAUUCAAUGUUGGUUUUUGGCCUUGCCGCUUACAUGCAGUGAUUUCUCCAGAUUCUCUGAAGCUUUUGAUAUUAUGGACCGUAGAUGAUGAAAUCCCUAAAUUCCUUGCAAUUGUACGUUGUGGAACAUUGUCCUUAAACUGUUCGACUAUUUUCUCACGCACUUGCUCACAAAGAGGUGAACCUUGCCCCAUCUUUGCUUGUGAAUGACUGAGCAAUUCAGGGAAGCUCCUUUUUAUAUCCAAUCAUGGCACCCACCUGUUCCCAAUUAGCCUGUUCACCUGUGGGAUGUUCAUUCAACUUUCUCAGUCUUUUUUGCCACCUUUCCCAGCUUUUGGGGAAUGUGUUGCAGCUAUAAAAUUCUAAGUUAAUGAUUAUUUGCUAAAAACAAAGUUUAUCAGUUUGAACAUUAAAUAUCUUGUCAUUGUAGUGUAUUCAAUGAAAUAAAGGUUGAACAUGAUUUGCAAAUCAUUGUAAUCUGUUUUUAUUUUUUCAACACAACGUCCCAACUUCAUUGGAAUUGGGGUUGUACUUCUAGAACACAAAAGCAAAUAGGAAUAAUAGAACAGGACUAGGAAAGCUUUAUGCAUGCCAUACAUUUUGAUAACUAUCGGACUAAAAGAAUAACAGGCAGUAAAAGCAUUGGAACGAUGAAGCAUAAUUGGAACGUACUUUCCAUGAUGCACCUUUACCUAAAACUCACUGAACACAAUUGCAACAACAAAAAGUUCAUUGGCUUUCAAAAAGAUUUGAACAAAACUAUUGUAUGAAAAAAAACAUACCCUUGCUUCUAACAUGACCUAAAAAUUACCCCCAAAAAAUUACAAGAAAUUGUGACCAAGAGUAAGAUACACACUGUAUUAAUUCUAAUCUCACCGAAUAAAGCACUGACCAGAAGAUUUAAAGAGAGCGAGAAAAUACUCUUAUGAAAUUGAUUCGAACAAGAGAAAAGAGCGUUUUGUUUUUUAACGUGAUACCAACAAGGGAAGGAACCCCCAUAUGAACCUUUGGUGCCAUGAACAUACUGUAUGUAUACAAAGAUGUAAUACUAAAAGACCUCUGAUGAGCUCAUUUCUAAUCCUAUCCAACCUGGUCCCUCCUAGAGAGAAUCUCAUCAUUUCUCUGCUGCUUCCUGUCAUCUCUUCAGUGCCACUCUCUUAUAAACUUUGCCCUUCAUCCUAGCAGAGACUCUUCUGUCACACAACACACCUAACACCUUACUCCACCGGUUCCAACCUGCUUGGACCCACUUCUUUACCACACUCAACAUCGGUCUGGACUGUUGACCCCAAGUAUGUAAAGUCCUCCACCCUCACUCUUCCCCCGCCACCUUAAAUUCCUCUGUCAAACAUACAGCACACCUAAUCAUGGUUCUGCUGCCCUCAUACGUGUGCUGUAUUAUUCUAACAUAGUUCUCUGCCACUCCAGACUUCCACAUGCAGUAUCACAGUUCUUCUCUCGUUACUCUAUCAUAUGCUUUCUCUACAAAGACACCAUGUAGCUCCUUCUGACCUUCUCUGUACUUUUCCAUCAACAUCCUCAAGGCAAAUAAUGCAUCUGUGGUACUCUUUCUCGGCAUGAAACCAUACUGUUGCUCGCAAAUACUCACAGCUGUCCUGAGUCUAGCCUCCACUACUCUUUCCCAUAACUUCAUUGUGUGGCUCAUCAACUUUAUUUCUCUAUAGCUCCCACAACUCUGCACAUCACCGUUUGUCUUAAAAAUGGGCACCAGCACACCUUUCUUCAGGCAUCUUUUCACCUGCUAAAAUUAUGUUAAACAAGCUGGUCAAAAACUCCAAAGCCAUCUCUCCAAGAUGCUUCCAUACCUCCACAGGAAUGUCAUCAUUCCUGUGGAGGUAUGCCUUUCCAUUUUUCAUCCUCUUUAAUGCCUUUCUAACUUCCCCCUUACUAAUUAUUGCCACUUCCUGGUCCACCACACUUGCCUCUUCUCUCUCAUUUUCCUCAUUCAUCAACUCCUCAGAGUAUUCUUUCUAUCUAUCCAGUACACUACUGACACCAGAAAACAUAUUUCCAUCUCUAUCUUUAAUUAUCUUAACCAUAUUCCCAUCUCUAUCCAUCUGUCUGGCCAAUGUGUAGAGAUCUUUUUCUCCUUCUUUAGUGUCCAACCUGACAUACAUGUCGUUAUAUGCCUCUUGUUUCGCCUUUGCCACCUCUACCUUCACCCUACGUCGCAUCUCCAUGUACAGUAUUCUUGUCUCCUCUCCUCAGUCCUUUCAGUGUCCCACUUCUUCUUAGCUAACCUUUCCUUGUAUGCUUUCCUGUACUUUGAGGUUCCACCAUCAAGUAUCCUUCCCCCUUUUCCUGCCAGAAGAUGCACCAAGUACUCUCUAUAGUCUGGAAACUCCUCCUGUCCACAGAGAGCCUGUCUCACCUCUUCCUGAAAAGCCGCACAACACUCUUCCUUUCUCAGCUUCCACCACAUGGUUCUCUGCUAUGCCUUUGUCUUCUUAAUCUUCCUCCCCACCACCAGUCAUUUUACACACCACCAUCCUAUGCUGUCUAGCCACACUCUCCCCUACCACUAAUUUACGGUCAGUAACCUUCUAUAGAUUACAUCAUCAGUACAAGAUGUAAUCCACCUACGUGCUUCUACCUCUGCUGUUGUAGGUCACUUUAUGUUCCUUUUCACUACAGCCAUUUCUAUCCUUUUGGCAUAGUCUACCACCAUCUGUCCCUCCAAGUUCUUUUCCUGGAUGCCAAACUUACCCAUCAUUUCUUCACUUCACCUUUGUUUCCUUUACCAAUAUGUCCAUUAUAAUCUGCACCAAUCAAGACUCUCUCUCUAUCUGGGAUGCUUAGAACUACUUCAUCUAGCUCCUCCCAGAAUUUCUCUUUCACCUCGGUCAUAUCCUACCUGUGGGGCAUAGCCACUAAUCACAUUAUACAUAACACCCUCAAUUUCAAGUUUGAGCCUCAUCACUCAAUCUGAUACUCUUUUCACCUCUAAGACAUUCUUAGCUAACUCUUCUUUUAAAAUAAGGCCUACUCCAUUUCUCUUCCCGUCUACACCAUGGUAAAAUAAUUUAAACCCUGCCCCUAAUCUUCUAGCCUUACCUACUACAAGUAUGUAAGUUAGACAGGUAAGCAUAAACAGAGUUGCCAUGAUCAAGAACAUGCAAUAAAACAAUAUUUGAACGUUGCAGUACCUCAAUGAAUUUGACUGUUGCUUCACUGUCUUAACCAAGGUCUCUCAGGGUGCGGAGUACUACUGCCACGGAACGACUCAGUCUGUGCAGCCAGGGCCACCUACACAUUGCAAAAAACCUUCCUCCAGUCCAUGUAUACAACCAGGACCUUCUGUGUGUCUGUUCAGGUAGCAAGCAACCGGUGCCUUGCAAAGUCGUUGGAAUCCCGCCGCAAUAAAAACCAUAGUCUCUGUUAGAACAGGGGUCUCCUCCAUACCAUCCCAUCCCCCAUAUCCACAAAUCCAGACAGAUGUUGUCUUGUGAUCAUACUGGACAUGUUAUAUGGACAUGGCAUCCAGCAUGAGUGUUGUGCGUC